UUGACAGGACUAGGAACUAAAAAACUCUCUUUAUAGAACAAAUGCUUCACAGCUCAGACAGUGGCAGUUCAAACUACUACACACUGGCUGGCUAAUAUUCUACAAGACUAAGCUUAAAGAAGCAAACCUCUGUCUGAGAAGGGUAGUUCAGCCUCCAUACUCAUUCAGUCUUUGGCCCCU
ensembl:misc_RNA